UACGGAGGGGGCUAGCGUUGUUCGGAAUUACUGGGCGUAAAGCGCACGUAGGCGGCUUUGUAAGUUAGAGGUGAAAGCCCCGGGCUCAACCUGGGAAGUGCACUCGAAACUGCUUGGCUUGAGUACUGGAGAGGGAAGCGGAAUUCUCGGUGUAGAGGUGAAAUUCGUAGAUAUCGAGAGGAACACCGGUGGCGAAGGCGGCUUCCUGGACAGUUACUGACGCUGAGACGCGAAAGCGUGGGGAGCAAACAGG
rnacentral:rRNA from 1 species